rnacentral:rRNA from 1 species
UACGAAGGGGGCGAGCGUUUAUCCGGAUUUACUGGGCGUAAAGCGCCCGUAGGCGGCCUGACAAGUUGGACGUGAAAGCUCCUGGCUUAACUGGGAGAGGCCGUUCAAAACUGUCAAGCUAGAGUCUGGAAGAGGAGAGCGGAAUUCCCGGUGUAGUGGUGGAAUGCGUAGAGAUCGGGAGGAACACCAGUGGCGAAAGCGGCUCUCUGGUCCAAAACUGACGCUGAGGGGCGAAAGCGUGGGGAGCGAACGGG